UACGGAGGGGGCUAGCGUUGUUCGGAAUUACUGGGCGUAAAGCGCGCGUAGGCGGCUUUGUAAGUUAGAGGUGAAAGCCCGGAGCUCAACUUCGGAAUUGCCUUUAAGACUGCAUCGCUAGAAUCGUGGAGAGGUGAGUGGAAUUCCGAGUGUAGAGGUGAAAUUCGUAGAUAUUCGGAAGAACACCAGUGGCGGAGGCGACUCACUGGACACGUAUUGACGCUGAGGUGCGAAAGCGUGGGGAGCAAACAGG
rnacentral:rRNA from 1 species